GUAUAUAUAUCUGAGUUCCUACUACACUGCUUCAGUCUGGAGGAUCAGACCCCAUCAUACUACACAGACCAAAUCCAGUCAUAUCUACACACACUACAGCAGGACACCAACCCAUCUUUCCUCUGUCUCUUCCGACCGUGCUGUCACCAUGGACAUGACACCUCUGCUACUCCUACUCUGUGCCGAAUCAUUCCACCUAAUCAAUGAAACAAAGACCUGGGAGCAAGCUCUGGACUACUGCAAUAAGAACUACCACGGACUGCUUAGGUUGGAGUCUGAGGCUGACCACAAGAUUGUUGAGCAGAAACUGAGUCGUAGUGUGAAACUUGUACCUGGUCCUGUGUUGGUGGGUCUAAGGCAGAGCUGUCUCUUUGGGUUUUGGCUCUGGACCAAUGGGAUGCCAGUGCAGUGGAGUAACUGGGAGGGGUACAGACAGCCUAAACAGCCUCUGUCCAACCACUGUGGUGCCAUGGCAACGUGGAGGUCACGAUUACCACGCUGGAAGGAUGAAUGUGACUAUACCAGCCAGAAUACAGCAUGAUAUUAUAGUAUGGCAACUUUAUAUGAACUUUGAACUCUUUGUCAAAGGACAAGGGAGAGCUCUGCUGGGCAACCCAGCCUUCCAGCUUCGACCAAUCUAUCGAAGCGCAGUUCAGAGUAAAUAUUUCUUUAAUUUUCCUUUUCCAAAUGGGCGGUUUUUUAGAAUGCAUAAGAUUAUGUAUUUACGAUAGCAUAGCUUCAUAAGGUCGAUAGAGACCCAAUCCUUUUGUUCCUCAGUCUUCCUGUGCUUUCAUUCAAACCCAACCCCCUUUCUUUGUAUAACCAGCUGUUAUAUCGGUUCUGUCCGCUAGGGACGAUUUUCUUUUAUGACAUAAUUAGUAAUCAAUGUA